rnacentral:rRNA from 1 species
UACGUAGGGACCAAGCGUUGUCCGGAAUCAUUGGGCGUAAAGAGCGUGUAGGCGGCUUGUUAAGUCUUGCGUGAAAUCUCGGGGCUCAACCCCGAGCGGUCGUGAGAAACUGGCAGGCUAGAGUGCGGGAGAGGAGAGUGGAAUUCCUGGUGUAGCGGUGAAAUGCGUAGAUAUCGGGAGGAACACCUGUGGCGAAGGCGGAUCUCUGGGCCUUACCUGACGCUCAGGUGCGAAAGCUAGGGGAGCGAACAGG